CUUCAUCCUGUGAAUGAAUCGCCUAUUCAUAAAAAUAAAGAAAUUGUGAUUUAAGUGGGUGGGCGCUGAUUCCAAAGUGCAACAGGAUGUGGAUUCAAUUCAACCAAUGUGGAAAAACACCGGCACCUCGGAGCCACAAGUACAGUGUGGACUCCCAACCCCACUCCAGCUUCUGAGUGCUUCCUGGAUCAGAAAAGUGAGGGCCUCUGAUACUCCUCCACACACAAGGCUCUGUGCUCUGGGAUGGGGACUGAGAACUCCUGUGGAGGAUGCUGGGGGAAGCAGCAAUGAUUGAGGGAAGGGUAGGCACAGCUCCUUCCCCUGGAGAGCCUCCUCCACCACCACCUGCCUGCCUACCUGGAACAGUGACUGGGGCUGAAAUACCUCUUUCUCUAGCCAGUACCUGUUUAUUCAGACUGUCUUCUGGGGCUGGCCUCUCUCUAUCACCCUGUCCCUAUGCUGUCUGGCUUGGGCAGCUGCCAAAUACUUCUGAGAAACUAAAGGCAAUACCAUGCAGCAUAUCUUGGAAAGAAAGGUAUCAUGGGAAAUGCUCCCAGAGCAGAAGGGAGGUGCACACACCUGUAAAGAGCCCCCACCCCACCCCCACCCCGUACUCAGGAGGCAAAGGUAGUAGAAUUACUGCAAGUUCGGGCCAGCCCUGUCUAACUUGAGCCUUCCAGGUGGGUCAGGGAAAAACAGAAGAAAAGAAA
rnacentral:lncRNA from 1 species